rnacentral:sRNA from 1 species
UUUUGGAGAAGAAGAAUUAGAAGCUGAGUGCUUAAUUCAGAAUCUCAAGAAUCAUCAGUUUCUCAAUUCUGGUCAAGGGGAGAAUAAAUCCUUCAUACCCCUAAUGGACCGUAAUCGGCUAAUGAUGAAGGUUUCUCUUUAAGAUUGUGAAUUGUGAUGAGUGGGACUUGAUGGCCGGCGUAGAACAGUUCAGAAGAGCGUGUUUUGCGACUGAUCUGACCUCUCGCCAUGUCGUAUGUUCCAGCAGUUCAUAGAUCUGAUGACUCGGAUUCCUGUUUCUUUUCACUCAGAGAAUUUAGCAAAGGCAGAGAAUUGGUGAUUGGAGUUUUAACUGAAUUCUGGUAAAAUCCUUGGAUGGCAAACGAUGAUUUGAUUAGCAGAGUUCGGUGGAUUUGAUCGGAGUUUCAGCCCGGUGGAAACGCUAGGAAUGAGUCGGUUGCGUCUUCUUCCACCUUCAGCAGAUGUUACACACGUGUCACAUACACAUGUCCCUUUUACCCAUACGUGUUCGUCUAUUUUGAUUGUAAUAGCUAUAUUGGGUUAAUUGGGCUUUCUGUACUUGGG